CGGGUGAGUAACGCGUGAGGAACCUGCCUCAAAGAGGGGGACAACAGUUGGAAACGACUGCUAAUACCGCAUAAGCCCACGGCUCGGCAUCGAGCAGAGGGAAAAGGAGCAAUCCGCUUUGAGAUGGCCUCGCGUCCGAUUAGCUAGUUGGUGAGGUAAUGGCCCACCAAGGCGACGAUCGGUAGCCGGACUGAAAGGUUGAACGGCCACAUUGGGACUGAGACACGGCCCAG
rnacentral:rRNA from 1 species